GAUGAACGCUAGCGGCAGGCCUAAUACAUGCAAGUCGAACGGCCCCGACACUUCGGUGUCGGGGUAGUGGCGCACGGGUGCGUAACGCGUACACAACAUACCCUUUACGAGGGGGAUAGCGGCGGGAAACUGGCCAGUAAUACCCCAUGUCCUUGCGAGGUGGCAUCAUUUUUGCAAAGAAAGUUCAAGCGGUAAAGGAUUGGGUGUGCGUCCGAUUAGCUAGUUGGGCCGGGGUAACGGCCCACCAAGGCGACGAUCGGGUAGGGGGGUNUGAGAGCAUGGCCCCCCCANACGGGUACUGAGACACGGACCCGACUCCUACGGGGAGGCAGCAGUAAGGAAUAUUGG
rnacentral:rRNA from 1 species